UUAGGAAUAUUGGACAAUGGGCGCAAGCCUGAUCCAGCCAUGCCGCGUGAACGAUGAAGGCCUUCGGGUUGUAAAGUUCUUUAGCCGAUGAUUAUAAUGACUGUAGUCGGAAAAUAAGCCCCGGCUAACUUCGUGCCAGCAGCCGCGGUAAUACGAAGGGGGCGAGCGUUAUUCGGAAUCACUGGGCGUAAAGCGUGCGUAGGCGGUCUUGUAAGUUAGGAGUGAAAGCCCAGGGCUUAACCUUGGAAUUGCUCUUAAAACUGCAAGGCUAGAAUCUCGGAGAGGAUAGCGGAAUUUCCAGUGUAGCAGUGAAAUGCGUAGAUAUUGGAAGGAACACCAGUGGCGUAAGCGGCUAUCUGGACGAGUAUUGACGCUGAGGCACGAAAGCGUGGGGAUCAAA
rnacentral:rRNA from 1 species